rnacentral:lncRNA from 1 species
CUCCUGCCCCUGUUUCUGGAGUGCCGGAAUCACAGGGGUAGACCACCACACCAUGUGCUAUUUGGUCGGUGCUGGUCUACUGCUUGCUAUAUAAUCCCGCUGACUUUUGACUGCUGGCAAACUUCCUGCCUCAGCCUCCAGAGUGCAGGGAUUACAAGCAAGAACGGCCGCCCUGACUUCAACUGUCUUUUUAAAGGGUUAUGGUGAGAAAAUCUUGUCCAUUUAUCCCCACGUCCCAAUUUGUUACAGUCUUCAUUUGGUGUAAAUUCUAAGUCCCUACUGCAUAAAUGUUCUCAAAGAUGCCUGGAGUGAACAUUUGCUACUUGAGAUUCGCUCCACCCUCGAUUCUCUGAACAGUCUAAACUGCCUGAGAGUUUGAGGGAAACUUCUCCUGGAUUAGUAAAUCAGGGCUGACAGACCUUCUUUGCUGUCCUUCCACAGGGACCCUUACUAGAGCUCCCAGCAAACCUCAAUUCAGAGACAGCUCUCCAGGAUUCACCCACCUGCUAAACUCCUUCUAGGAGGGUACAGAGAGCCCAGGGCAGCUCAUGAAUGGGCCAGAGAGAGGCAGGAAGCUAGAGGUGUCUGCAACUUCCGACCUAGCUCAUGAGACCUGCCACUGACCUCCAGGUGGCACUGUUGUAGAGUUCUCAGCUCUACAGAAGUUUUGUGCACAGGCCCACACUUUCCUGCCCUUUCUCCGCUAGCCCCGCCUCCUGUGGGAGUGGUCACGGAAGGCUAUUUUAUGCAGAGACGAUCCAAGGUGUCCUGGGGUUUGAGCUGGGCUGCAGCAGCUCCAAAGGUAACGGUCUUGCCUAUCACCCACCCGCAAUGAGCAGAGUUGAUUCUUCCCCGGUACAGCUUCUUCCGGCUCCUGGGGCUGUGAUCGCACCUUGUCCUCCCAAGAGCUCCGAGAACCACAAGCUCCUCAGGCUGACUUUACACAACUCUGCGGUUUCCACCCUUCCAGAAAAGUGGCCCAGGACCCUCUCACAAUAGACCAACCCUGGCUCCGCCAAAUUCCAUGUGGCCAGCCUAUGUCUAGGGCAUUGAGAACACUGGGAAUCUCGAACUGUGUAGACUCUCCCGAACUAGUGCCUAGCAGGUGCGUGCCUCUGAACCCUCAUCUGAUGGGUUUCCUGUUUUGCAGUCAGCAGAACCCCAGAAAGACUUUGGACCAAGCAGUCGAUCUGCCUUCUUAUUGCAGCCGGGCUCAGGGUCUUGGAUUUUUCUCCCAAGUUCUGGGUGCCUGUUGGUUUAGCAGUGGUUUCAGCUUCACCAAGGAGUAUCCCCACAACUGGCAUUGGAAGUGGGAUGAUGUAGCCUAUGGGAGUCUCUUCAUCUGCCACGACUGGCCUAGUAACGGUGCUUGAGAGACAAGAAGGGAAUUUGGUUCAACACAGCAGUAACAGACAUUGUUGCUUUAAAUGUUGCCAGUCAUACUUGGAGUUGUUUGUUUUAGG